CUAGAAGCUGGACUUUAAAGUAACAAAAUAUGUAUGAUUAGAACCACAAGCAAGAAGACACACAGAGAAAGGAGAAAAGCCUAAACAAAGCAGCUGAUUGAUGAGUAUUUCCAAUCUUUGAAUUCUAAAUUCCAAAAUGCUGGUUGCAUUGUGCAAAAGGUGAACGUUGGAGGAGGCAAUUUUAGCUUAAUUGCUACCUCUCUCAAAUGAAGAUGAAUUCAUCUUGGUACCUGUUCACUUGUUCCGGCCUAGCCAACUAGGAAUAUUGGAUGAGAAUCAACAAUGCUCUGUCUUCUGGCUUUGAAAAUGAUUCUUUGACAACUUUUGUGCACCAAGCAUUCAUAAUAUUUCUGAGGAAGGAAACAACUGGAAAGCAGAUGAGGUUUUUGUCCCGUUUGUGAAGUGUGGUGAACAGAUGGCGAAUGCACUAGAUAUUUGCAUUUGAACAAACAUUCUAAUCAGUUGGUAAAAUUGCCACAUAGAUGUGUAAACUGAAGGUUUGUGUGAAGAUGUAAUCUGCAAAUAUUUCUGUUUAUUUAAAUAUCAUUGUUAGUACCUUGUUUACUAAACUUAAAUUACAUGAUAUUCUGUUUUAUGCAAUGUAAGCAUAAGUCCUUGCAGCAAUGGUAAUUAUAUGUAUAAUUGUUGAUAAAACAAGUUCUCAGUAUUUUAUAACUUUAUAAUAUCCCAAUUCAGGUAAAUUCUUUAACUGAUGGGGCAUAUGUACGCUAUCAAACAUCCAUAUUUAUGCGUAUGCACAUCAGCAAACAUAUCUUAUCAAUUUUUGCUAUUCUAAAUGAUCCAAAUGAUUUUAUUAAAAUUGAAAUAGCUUGAUUCAAUUUAUCGCACUGUAAUUAAUUCCUCUAUCCUCAUUAGAAGCACUGCAGUAUCAGCACUGGGUGUAAUUAUAACACGAUAAGAUCAGGUAGGAAGUUACCACUAUAAAUGUUGACAGAUGAGUUUAUAAAAGAAGCACAUAAAAUAGGACAGAAGGUAUGACUUUUAACUGAUGAAAUAUACCUAAUUAUUUCCACAUCUAAUUCCAACACCUCAAAUCUACACUUGAUUUUAGACUACAUGUUCAGCUUAUAUGAGAAGCCUGUUAAAAUCCUACAUUUGCGUACACUCCAUGUCAACAGUUCAGUUAUAAGUUGUGAUGUCCUAAAUUAUGAUGGGAAGCAUCAUCGUAAGCCCAUCAUUCCAUCAUUAUACAGUACUUGGGAAAGAUGUGAUUUAUGCAAUGAGACAUUGAUUCAGACAAUUUUUAUCAUAGAUAUGGGAAAAAAAAUCACAAAAACAUUAAAAUAAGGCCAUUAUGUGCAGCUUUAAAACUUGUGUUAAUGUCUGCGCAUGCUUGACCAAAUAUCUCUGCCUUCCAAAUUCAGGACUUCAUUUGGCCUUGAAACCCACAUGCUGUGAUAUGUCCAUGGGCAUGUAUACGUAUGUACACAUGUAUGUAUAUAAUAUGCUUAUAAUAUAUGAACACACACAUUUACGUACUCUAAAU